rnacentral:tmRNA from 1 species
GGGGCCGAUCUGGAUUCGACCGGGCAGGGAAGGCACGACGCGGCGCGUCGAGGCGCACGCGGGCCUCGUUAAAAGCGUGCACACUUCAUAACUGCCAACAGCGGUUAUCGUCUCGCGGCCUAACUGGCCGUGCAUCGCGCUCGCAACGCCCGAUAGCGGGCGCGGUGAACACUUCGGGCUGGUCGGUGGCGGACGCCCUCGGCGCCACCGAUGAGAUACUUCCGCGGGCUGGAUGCAGGAGAAGGGUGUCAUGGCCCGCCUCCGGCGUCGAGAUCAAAGCCAUGAACACACGCGUAGAAGCGGCGUGCUGACUGUCACGGGACUGGGGUUCAAUUCCCCACGGCUCCAUUC